GCUUCUACCUCAAGGACAUGGAGCGCCUCAAGGAGGUGAGGGGACCCUGCCAGGAUGUCCCCAAAGUGUCCCCACCACCCCUCCGCCACCACCUCAUCCCCCCGGCUGUCCCCGCCCGUGUCCCCGCCCAGCGCGGCUCACGGCGCGUCUCUGUGUCCCUGUGUGCUCGUGGUGUGGCCGUGUUGUCCCUUUGGUGUCCCUUGUGUGUCCCUUCCGCAGCUCCUGCUCAUCCUGUCCCUGUCGCAGAGCCUCGCGCGGCAGCUCCGGGAGGCUCUGCUCCCCUCCAUCCUCCUCCACCUCCACCUGUCCCUCAUCUUCCUCAGGCGCCUCCUGCGCUUUUGCUGGACCCUGGGAGUAUCCAAAGUAGGAGCGCGGGGACACCCAGGGGACACCCAGGGGACACCCAGGUGUCCUCAACCCGUCCAGGGUGGCGGUGGCGCCGCCCCAUGGGGGUGUCAGCGAUGGGCGGGGGUCACAGCAGAGGGGACACUGGGGGGGGGGGUNACGAGGGAGGGGCGGGGACACCACGGGGGACAGCAGAGAGGAGCAGGGACAGCAUGAGGACACCACAGAGGGGAGCGGGGACACUGGGGGGACAUUGGGGACACCACAAGUGGAGCAGGGGCACCACGAGAGGAGCAGGGACAUUGUGGGGACAUCAGGAGCAGGGACAGCACAAGGGGAGCAGGGACACUGUGGGGACAUCAGGGAGGAGCAGGGACAGCAUGAGGACACAGUGGGGACAUCCGGGAGGAGCAGGAACACCACAAGGGGACCAGGGACACUGUGGGGACAUCCGGGAGGAGCAGGGACACUGCAAGGGGAGCAGGGACACUGAGGGGACAUCAGGGAGGAACAGGGACACCACAAGGGGAUCAGGGACACUGUGGGGACAUCCGGGAGGAGCAGGGACACUGCAAGGGGAGCAGGAACAUUGUGGGGACAUCAGGGAGGAACAGGGACAGCAUGAGGACACUGUGGGGACAUCAGGGAGGAGCAGGAGCACCACAAUGGGAGCAGGGACACUGUGGGGACAUCAGGGAGGAGCAGGAGCACCACAAUGGGAGCAGGGACACUGUGGGGACAUCAGGAGCAGGGACACCGC
rnacentral:lncRNA from 1 species